rnacentral:rRNA from 1 species
UACGAAGGGUGCAAGCGUUACUCGGAAUUACUGGGCGUAAAGCGUGCGUAGGUGGUUUGUUAAGUCUGAUGUGAAAGCCCUGGGCUCAACCUGGGAAUUGCAUUGGAUACUGGCAGGCUAGAGUGCGGUAGAGGGUAGUGGAAUUCCCGGUGUAGAGGUGAAAUUCGUAGAUAUCGAGAGGAACACCGGUGGCGAAGGCGGCCAACUGGACGAAUACUGACGCUGAGACUCGAAAGCGUGGGGAGCAAACAGG